UACGUAGGGGGCUAGCGUUGUCCGGAUUUAUUGGGCGUAAAGAGCGUGUAGGCGGCCAGGUAGGUCUGCUGUGAAAACUCGAGGCUCAACCUCGAGACGUCGGCGGAAACCAUCUGGCUAGAGUCCGGAAGAGGAGAGUGGAAUUCCUGGUGUAGCGGUGAAAUGCGCAGAUAUCAGGAAGAACACCCGUGGCGAAGGCGGCUCUCUGGGACGGUACUGACGCUGAGGCACGAAGGCGUGGGUAGCAAACAGG
rnacentral:rRNA from 1 species